UCCCCUUACAAUCCGGUAUAUAUUCAGCUGCUUGUCUAGAGCUCAAAGAUAAAAGUCAGCCCACGUGUCAACGGCGGCCCGCGAAAGCAAAUCAAAGCCGGUGACGGAGCAUCUCAUAUAUAAUGACCCGUUGGUUCCCGCAGGCUGGGCAUUCAGACUGUCAAAUAGUCAGCUCAACCUCAUCAUCAGCUGCUCUGCAGUCACAAAGCCUGCAGGUGCACCACGCAGCCCGCGAGCUAAAACAGCUAUUACGCUCUCAGUUAACUUAGGGUUCCAGCUCCCAACAACCACCCAACCUGAAACCACCAGGUGCGCCUGAUGGUGCAAAAGUCGAAGCAACUCAGCCCCGGUGUGGGCGUGCCACGUCAGCCGUGUUUCCUGGCUGGCAGCAAAAUGUUAAAUGGGGCCAAACUUCUACGCAGCUUCAAAUAGUUGCACCACCAUUUGAGCACUCCCCUCCUUUCCAUCCCCAUCUUCCGGGCCG
rnacentral:lncRNA from 1 species